CCUACGGGUGGCUGCAGUGGGGAAUCUUUCACAAUGGGGGAAACCCUGAUGCUGCGACGCCGCGUGAGUGAAGAAGUAUUUCGGUAUGUAAAGCUCUAUCAGCAGGGAAGCAAAAAGACGGUACCUGACUACGAAGCCCCGGCUAACUACGUGCCAGCCGCCGCGGUAAUACGUAGGGGGCAAGCGUUACCCGGAUUUACUGGGUGUAAAGGGAGCGUAGACGGAGAAGUAAGUCUGAAGUGAAAGCCCGUGGCUUAACCACGGGACUGCUUAGGACACUGUUUGACUAGAGUGCUGGAGGGGUAAGUGGAAUUCCUGGUGUAGCAGUGAAAUGCGUAGAUAUUAGGAGGAACACCAGUGGCGAAGGCGGCUUACUGGACAGUAACUGACGUUGAGGCUCGAAGGCGUGGGGAGCGAACAGGAUUAGAUACCCCUGUAGUC
rnacentral:rRNA from 1 species